rnacentral:lncRNA from 1 species
GAAAAAUGGGUAGGCGGUGCAUAAGGACCACAGCUUAUCAAGUGACAGAGGAACGCAUGCCAUGUGUGUCUUUCCAGAGGAUGAAGGCUGCAGUCUAAAACAAACCUACCUCCAGCUUCCUGGUGAAUGAACAUACCUCCUCUGGAGACCUGAAGUCUUGGCCCUGCCUCUCCCUUCACUCUGCCUAACACCUGAAUUCAAGAGACAUGUGGAGACUUGUGCACUUGCCGCUCAAAACAGUUAACCCCAAAAGACAGGAGAUUUCCUCAGGAGUACUGCACCAGCUGGGCAAAACCCCACGCUAGCUCAUCCUAGCUGAUGAGAGUGAUGCCAGUGGAUGGCGGCUCUCAGGAUCUGCCAAGUAGGAAGCAGUGGAGCCGCAGCAGACUGCAGCAGUCUUUGGAGACAGACAUGCUAGACUCUGAUCAUCCAGAUGAGAUGGACUCAUGCUCUGCCUGCACCCUGCUCCUCGCACUGCAGCGCUCGGCUGAGUAACAUAGGAUGGUGCUGGAGCUGCCAGGCAGGGGAGCUGUGACAUCACUGAAAUGUGCGACAGCAUCAGGACUGUGUCUCCAGGGGUAA